GUUGCAGGGUAUAGACCCGAAACCCGGUGAUCUAGCCAUGGGCAGGUUGAAGGUUGGGUAACACUAACUGGAGGACCGAACCGACUAAUGUUGAAAAAUUAGCGGAUGACCUGUGGCUGGGGGUGAAAGGCCAAUCAAACCGGGAGAUAGCUGGUUCUCCCCGAAAGCUAUUUAGGUAGCGCCUCGUGAAUUCAUCUCCGGGGGUAGAGCACUGUUUCGGCUAGGGGGCCAUCCCGGCUUACCAACCCGAUGCAAACUGCGAAUACCGGAGAAUGUUAUCACGGGAGACACACGGCGGGUGCUAACGUCCGUCGUGAAGAGGGAAACAACCCAGACCGCCAGCUAAGGUCCCAAAGUCAUGGUUAAGUGGGAAACGAUGUGGGAAGGCCCAGACAGCCAGGAUGUUGGCUUAGAAGCAGCCAUCAUUUAAAGAAAGCGUAAUAGCUCACUGGUCGAGUCGGCCUGCGCGGAAGAUGUAACGGGGCUAAACCAUGCACCGAAGCUGCGGCAGCGACGCUGAUGCGUUGUUGGGUAGGGGAGCGUUCUGUAAGCCUGUGAAGGUGGCCUGUGAGGG
rnacentral:rRNA from 1 species